GAUGAACGCUGGCGGCGUGCUUAACACAUGCAAGUCGAGCGGAAAGGCCCCUUUUGUGGUACUCGUGUGGAGGAGGGGUGGGUGUGAUGUGAGUGACGUGCCCCUGCCUUUAAGAGAACUUCAGCAACCUGGCGCUGACACCCGAUAGGAAUCCUUUCUGCACGGUGGGGGUUGGAAAGCGUCGGCGGUUUUGGCUGGACUCGCGGCCUAUCAGCUUGUUGGUGGGGGAGUGGCUUACCAAGGCUUUGCCGGGUAGCCGGCCUGCGAGGGCGACCGGCGACAUUGGGACUGAGAGACGGCACAGGCUCCUACGGGGGGGAACAGUGGGGAAUAUUGCAGGAGGGGCGGAGGCCUGAUGCCGCAACGCCGCGUGCGGGAUGACGGCCUUCGGGUUGUAAACCGCGUGCAGCAGGGGCGAAGCUUGUGGUGACGGUACCUGCACAGGAAGCACCGGCUAACUACGUG
rnacentral:rRNA from 1 species